rnacentral:rRNA from 3 species
GAAAAAUAACGAUACGGGACUCAUCCGAGGCCCCGUAAUCGGAAUGAGUACACUUUAAAUCCUUUAACGAGUAUCCAUUGGAGGGCAAGUCUGGUGCCAGCAGCCGCGGUAAUUCCAGCUCCAAUAGCGUAUAUUAAAGUUGUUGCGGUUAAAAAGCUCGUAGUUGGACUUGUGUCCCACGCUGUCGGUUCACCGCCCGUCGGUGUUUAACUGACAUGUAUCGUGGGACGUCCUGCCGGUGGUGGCGAGUCGAAAGAUCGCGCCCCUGCGGUUCUCCGCGGGUCGGUUGCGGUUCGUAGGCGGACCCCGAUGAAAUCCUACCGCGGUGCUCUUAAACGAGUGUCGAGGUGGGCCGGCACGUUUACUUUGAACAAAUUAGAGUGCUUAAAGCAGGCCUGAUGCGCCUGAAUACUGUGUGCAUGGAAUAAUGGAAUAGGACCUCGGUUCUAUUUUGUUGGUUUUCGGAACCCGAGGUAAUGAUUAAUAGGGACAGUCGGGGGCAUUCGUAUUGCGACGUUAGAGGUGAAAUUCUUGGAUCGUCGCAAGACGGACCGAAGCGAAAGCAUUUGCCAAGUAUGUUUUCAUUAAUCAAGAACGAAAGUUAGAGGUUCGAAGGCGAUCAGAUACCGCCCUAGUUCUAACCAUAAACGAUGCCAGCUAGCGAUCCGCCGAAGUUCCUCCGAUGACUCGGCGGGCAGCUCCCGGGAAACCAAAGCUUUUGGGUUCCGGGGGAAGUAUGGUUGCAAAGCUGAAACUUAAAGGAAUUGACGGAAGGGCACCACCAGGAGUGGAGCCUGCGGCUUAAUUUGACUCAACACGGGAAACCUCACCAGGCCCGGACACUGGAAGGAUUGACAGAUUGAGAGCUCUUUCUUGAUUCAGUGGGUGGUGGUGCAUGGCCGUUCUUAGUUGGUGGAGCGAUUUGUCUGGUUAAUUCCGAUAACGAACGAGACUCUAGCCUGCUAAAUAGUCGCAUCCGGUAU